GACGAACGCUGGCGGCGUGCUUAACACAUGCAAGUCGAACGGAAAGGCCCUGCUUGCAGGGUACUCGAGUGGCGAACGGGUGAGUAACACGUGGGUGAUCUGCCCUGCACUUCGGGCUAAGCCUGGGAAACUGGGUCUAAUACCGGAUAGGAGCCAUUUUUAGUGUGAUGGUUGGAAAGUUUUUUCGGUGUAGGAUGAGCUCGCGGCCUAUCAGCUUGUUGGUGGGGUAAUGGCCUACCAAGGCGGCGACGGGUAGCCGGCCUGAGAGGGUGGACGGCCACAAUGGGACUGAGAUACGGACCAGACUCCUACGGGAGGCAGCAGUGGGGAAUAUUGCACAAUGGGCGCAAGCCUGAUGCAGCGACGCCGCGUGGGGGAUGACGGCCUUCGGGUUGUAAACUCCUUUCGCUAGGGACGAAGCUUUUGUGACGGUACCUAGAUAAGAAGCACCGGCUAACUACGUG
rnacentral:rRNA from 1 species